CCUACGGGGGGCAGCAGUGGGGAAUUUUGGACAAUGGGCGCAAGCCUGAUCCAGCCAUUCCGCGUGCAGGAUGAAGGCCCUCGGGUUGUAAACUGCUUUUGUGAACAGGGCGGUACCGUAAGAAUAAGCACCGGCUAACUACGUGCCAGCAGCCGCGGUAAUACGUAGGGUGCAAGCGUUAAUCGGAAUUACUGGGCGUAAAGCGUGCGCAGGCGGUUAUGUAAGACAGGUGUGAAAUCCCAGGGCUUAACCUUGGAACUGCAUUUGUGACUGCAUAGCUAGAGUACGGUAGAGGGGGAUGGAAUUCCGCGUGUAGCAGUGAAAUGCGUAGAUAUGCGGAGGAACACCGAUGGCGAAGGCAAUCCCCUGGACUGACUGACGCUCAUGCACGAAAGCGUGGGGAGCAAACAGGAUUAGAUACCCUUGUAGUC
rnacentral:rRNA from 1 species